GGUUAAGCGACUAAGCGUACACGGUGGAUGCCCUGGCAGUCAGAGGCGAUGAAGGACGUGCUAAUCUGCGAUAAGCGUCGGUGAGGUGAUAUGAACCGUUAUAACCGGCGAUUUCCGAAUGGGGAAACCCAGUGUGUUUCGACACACUAUCAUUAACUGAAUCCAUAGGUUAAUGAGGCGAACCGGGGGAACUGAAACAUCUAAGUACCCCGAGGAAAAGAAAUCAACCGAGAUUCCCCCAGUAGCGGCGAGCGAACGGGGAGGAGCCCAGAGCCUGAAUCAGUGUGUGUGUUAGUGGAAGCGUCUGGA
rnacentral:rRNA from 1 species